CUGAGGUUAGGAAAAGGUCUGAAGCUUGAACUAUGGAGAUAAGUGGCUCAAGGAUUUGGUGGAACACAUUUUGCAGACUCAUCUUAAAAAUAUAGUUGAUAAAAUUUCUAAGUAAAGACCAAAGAUAAAGGGUAUUGUUAUAAUGGAUAUCUGACAAUUAGUUUCAAGACUCUGAUGCCCAGUGUGGGCAAUGCCAGCUACUUCAGGUAAACGUUCCUGACCAUCUUGGUUCUCGCUCUAAGAACUCAGCCCCUGGCACGGCUCUCCUGGCUGACCUCCUGUCUGGAUCUGUCCUUUCUCUGACCAGAGAGAAUCGGAUGUAAGAGAAGCACAUUUACUACUAUGGCAGCACGAAAAGUCAAGUGGCUAUAUUCCAGUUACUACGCUUGGGAAAUCUGGCACUCAGAAAAACGCCAGACUCCACAGGAAAGGGAACUGAUUACGUUACACACUGUGAAGACGGGGUCAUUCACUAGGAGGACACGGAGCAAGGCAGAAGCUAAGCUGGAGAGCCUACUGGCAGAAGUAGAGUCUGGAGAGCCACUGGAUCAAUCCCAAAGCCAGAACGAGUAACUGUUUCUAUUUAAAUCUGAUGAAAGAUGAUGAGGUAAUCAGGAAAGAUUGAUGGGAAAAUGGCUUCAAGAAGAACAACAUGCAAAGAAAGGAAGGAGUCUAACAUUCAGAUGGAUUUCUCUAAAAAUGAUUGGACUGGAGCUUGAAAUUACAACAGAAAAGAGUUACCUUCAACUGAGAUCCACUGUGAUAUCAUUCCCCUACAACUCUCAGCAAAGGAUCUCACAAGAAACAGGUCUAUGAAGGCAGAUGAUACAUUUGUUUGAAGAGGUUGCUGAGGAAUUCCCCACUAGAUCUACUACACUACUCAGUGAUCUUAGCUGAACCAGCUCCUUGAGAGAUCCGUCCUGUGCUAACACAGUCCAGAAGCAAUACCGGCCCCCCGUAACUUGACCCGCUGAGCGGAAGAUGAAGCGGAACUCCGGCCUCGGAGGAGCUGCCGUCAAAGUGAAGCCCCAGCUCGUGCACAGAAGGCAAUCCUUGGCUCCUCUCAGAGAGCCCCCCCCCCCCCCCCCCC